rnacentral:rRNA from 1 species
GGGUGAGUAACACGUGGAUAACCUACCUAUAAGACUGGGAUAACUUCGGGAAACCGGAGCUAAUACCGGAUAAUAUAUUGAACCGCAUGGUUCAAUAGUGAAAGACGGCUUUGCUGUCACUUAUAGAUGGAUCCGCGCCGCAUUAGCUAGUUGGUAAGGUAACGGCUUACCAAGGCAACGAUGCGUAGCCGACCUGAGAGGGUGAUCGGCCACACUGGAACUGAGACACGGUCCAG